rnacentral:tRNA from 1 species
GGGGACAUGGUCUAGUGGUAUGACGGAUCCUUAGCAUAGUUGAAGCUUGAAGCAUCACGGCCUGGAUCAGGUCCGGGGUUCGAUUCCCCGUGUCUCCA